rnacentral:lncRNA from 1 species
CAGGAAGAUAAAAGACCCAGAUUCCUGUUGCUCAGCAUGAGUUGGAGGUUGAAGAAAGGUAAUGUAUGACUGAGAUUGGCAUGGAAGGAGCAAGAAAAUAGCACUGAACCUGAAGGGGGACCUUCUGCAUGAGAAGAAAGACAAGGCCAAAACAAAAACGCCUUAGUGGAUGCUAACGAGGACAAGUGAAUCACUAGAACAAGACUCCCAUUCUCGUUCCUCAUCAAGCUCUUGGAAUUAGAUGUGACUUCAGAAAAAAUUUGUAGUUGUAAAAAAACACUGAAUAGAUGGAAAUUAAAUGGAGGGGUCAGUGCAGAAUAAAAACUCACAUGGUAAACUCUGUGAAGAUUUAAUGCAUCUAUUUUGAAGGUUGAGAGGAUUCAAUGUCACCGGGUUCAGCCUCUGUUCUUUCCCUAGAAACUCAGCCCCAGUGGAAAACCAUGGAUCUAAAGCUCCAGGUGAUUCUAA